AUUGAACGCUGGCGGCAGGCCUAACACAUGCAAGUCGAACGGUAACAGGAAGAAGCUUGCUUCUUUGCUGACGAGUGGCGGACGGGUGAGUAAUGUCUGGGAAACUGCCUGAUGGAGGGGGAUAACUACUGGAAACGGUAGCUAAUACCGCAUAACGUCUCAAGACCAAAGAGGGGGACCUUCGGGCCUCUUGCCAUCGGAUGUGCCCAGAUGGGAUUAGCUUGUUGGUGGGGUAACGGCUCACCAAGGCGACGAUCCCUAGCUGGUCUGAGAGGAUGACCAGCCACACUGGAACUGAGACACGGUCCAGACUCCUACGGGAGGCAGCAGUGGGGAAUAUUGCACAAUGGGCGAAAGCCUGAUGCAGACAUGCCGCGUGUAUGAAGAAGGCCUUCGGGUUGUAAAGUACUUUCAGCGGGGAGGAAGGGAGUAAAGUUAAUACCUUUGCUCAUUGACGUUACCCGCAGAAGAAGCACCGGCUAACUCCGUG
rnacentral:rRNA from 1 species